UUAAGUCCCGCAACGAGCGCAACCCUUGUCUUAUGUUGCCAGCACGUGAUGUGGGGACGUCGUAAGAGACUGCCGGGGUCAACUCGGAGGAAGGUGGGGACGACGGUCAAGUCAUCAUGCCCCUUAUGUCCAGGGCUUCACACAUGCUACAAUGGCCAGUACAGAGGGCUGCGAGACCGUGAGGUGGAGCGAAUCCCUUAAAAGCUGGUCUCAGUUCGGAUCGGGGUCUGCAACUCGACCCCGUGAAGUCGGAGUCGCUAGUAAUCGCAGAUCAGCAACGCUGCGGUGAAUACGUUCCCGGGCCUU
rnacentral:rRNA from 1 species